rnacentral:rRNA from 1 species
UUCUUUUGCCAAACCUCCUUCCCUAAGCCUGAUCUUGUCAGAUCUGAGAUACUAAGCAGGUUGAUUCUCUUUUAAUAGGGUUGGGCCUGGUUAGUACUUGGAUGGGAGACCACUGGGAAUACCAGGUCCCACAGUGG